GAUGAACGCUGGCGGCGUGCCUAAUACAUGCAAGUCGAGCGAACACACGAGGAGCUUGCUCCUCUGACGUUAGCGGCGGACGGGUGAGUAACACGUGGAUAACCUACCUAUAAGACUGGGAUAACUUCGGGAAACCGGAGCUAAUACCGGAUAAUAUAUUGAACCGCAUGGUUCAAUAGUGAAAGACGGUUUUGCUGUCACUUAUAGAUGGAUCCGCGCCGCAUUAGCUAGUUGGUAAGGUAACGGCUUACCAAGGCAACGAUGCGUAGCCGACCUGAGAGGAUGAUCGGCCACACUGGAACUGAGACACGGUCCAGACUCCUACGGGAGGCAGCAGUAGGGAAUCUUCCGCAAUGGGCGAAAGCCUGACGGAGCAACGCCGCGUGAGUGAUGAAGGUCUUCGGAUCGUAAAACUCUGUUAUUAGGGAAGAACAAAUGUGUAAGUAACUAUGCACGUCUUGACGGUACCUAAUCAGAAAGCCACGGCUAACUACGUG
rnacentral:rRNA from 1 species